GAGUUCGUCUGUGUAGGAUAGGUGGGAGGCUAUGAAACUGUGGCGCUAGCUGCAGUGGAGCCAUCCUUGAAAUACCACCCUGUCGUGCUUGACGUUCUAACCUAGGUCCGUUAUCCGGAUCAGGGACCGUGUAUGGUGGGUAGUUUGACUGGGGCGGUCUCCUCCUAAAGAGUAACGGAGGAGCACGAAGGUACGCUCAGCGCGGUCGGACAUCGCGCACUGUGUGCAAAGGCAUAAGCGUGCUUGACUGCAAGAUCGACGGAUCAAGCAGGUACGAAAGUAGGUCUUAGUGAUCCGGUGGUUCUGUAUGGAAGGGCCAUCGCUCAACGGAUAAAAGGUACUCCGGGGAUAACAGGCUGAUACCGCCCAAGAGUUCAUAUCGACGGCGGUGUUUGGCACCUCGAUGUCGGCUCAUCACAUCCUGGGGCUGUAGUCGGUCCCAAGGGUAUGGCUGUUCGCCAUUUAAAGUGGUACGCGAGCUGGGUUCAGAACGUCGUGAGACAGUUCGGUCCCUAUCUGCCAUGGGCGUUGGAAGUUUGAGAGGGGCUGCUCCUAGUACGAGAGGACCGGAGUGGACGAACCUCUGGUGUUCCGGUUGUCACGCCAGUGGCAUUGCCGGGUAGCUAUGUUCGGAAGCGAUAACCGCUGAAAGCAUCUAAGCGGGAAGCGCGCCUCAAGAUGAGACUUCCCGGGGCACAAGCCCCCUAAAGGAACCAUGUAGACUACGUGGUUGAUAGGUCAGGUGUGUAAGUACAGCAAUGUAUUGAGCUAACUGAUACUAAUGAUCCGUGCGGCUUGACCAUAUAACCUCA
rnacentral:rRNA from 1 species